AUACUUUCCAGGCGUAGGGGAUACCGUGAUCAUGCAGGUGGUCCCCCAGGGCGAGGCUGCUCCAUUGCACCGCGGAGUGGUUGACCCUUGCGAUUAUUUUUAUUUUUAUCAAUUAAAAAAUUGCAAUAAAAAAUGUAUGCCCGAAUAAUUAUUUUCUUUAUA
rnacentral:snRNA from 9 species